AUGCCUGAGCAACCGCCGAGGGGAAGCGCGCCUUUGUGCAAUGGUGGAGGCUGAUGACUUCACCUCACGGCAGAAACACAGGGCUGUGUUGGCAGCCCCGCGGGAGGAGCCCGCUGAUCAGGUCAAGGUAACGUCCUGGAGGACACCCAAGCCUAGGACUCCCAAUAAAAAAAUCUUGAUAAAAAAUCCCACUGUCUGCCAGAUAAUCUUUGCUUCUAAAGAUUGUUGAUUGUAAAAGCAGGAAGCAGAGGACAAGGGGCCUGGAAGUGCAUUUCUAUCCCGGAUGAGUAAGGAAGCAAGGGAGACGGAGCUGGGGCCUGGGAGAAGCCCAGUGGGCACUGGAGGAGAUGAGGCCCCGAGUGCCUAGCUGUGUCUGCCACAGACAAUGGUGUCCUUUUGACACCUCUAUUUGGCCAGCAGCAGCCAGCAAGUCCUUUGGGAAAUUAUGCAGAAUGAAUAGAUUUUCCUUGAUCUUCUUUCUGAACCAAGAGAGGCAUGUCUAAUGUCAAUGCUGUAGAAUUGUGAACUAGAGGUCCUUCGAGGUUGGUGUCAGGACAGUCUACAGGUCUAACCUCAGUUGUACUGUGGCUCUGGAGGAAAAUUUGAGAUAUUAUACAGGUAAAAAUAUAAAUGGCGUAAUAUGCCAUAGGGGUUCAAUAAAAUCACUGUUUUUUAGAGGGGAAGCGGGAAGGAGGUGGAGGACAGAGAAUAGAAAGUCACAUCUGUCCUUCAAUUUGGAGGUUUCCCUUCUUAGGGCUCCACAUCCCCUGAGUCAUUUUGUAUAUGUCCAAGCUUUGGAAAUCUGUGGGGCCAAUUUUGGUUGUGGUCACCAUGACCAGGGCCUUCCUGAUGCUUCCCAGGUGGAAGCCACCAUGCAGUGGGACUCCUGUCCCACAGACGCAUCCUGUGGGACACUCACACGGGCGGCAAAACCUGGCUACCUGAGCCUGGACUGUAACUUGAUUUCAUGUAUAAAACACAAAGUUUUAUGUAUUAAUAUACUUAAAAUGUCCAGCAUCAC